UCUCCUUCCAUUGUUCGUCAUCUUCUCUCCUCUCUCCUCAUUUCAUCAGAUUCAAUUCUUUUUCCUUUCAUCUCAAUUCUUCUCUGUUUUUUAUUUCUCUUUUACAACAAUCAGAGGAGAAUGGUGGUGGUCUGACAAAUUGGACCUUAUUUCAUCAAAUUCAUUUUUUUCUCCUUUCAUCUCAAUUCUUCUCUGUUUUUUAUUUCUCUUUUGUAACAAUCAGAGGAGAAUGGUGGUGGUCUGACAAAUUGGACCUUAUUCCUUGUGUAUGUUUACUGAAAUCAAUAUAUCUACUUGUGUGUUUCUUUCUCGCAGUGGUGGUGGUCUGAGAACCGGCGCUUCAUGUAGUUGGGACCUCGAGAAGAUAUGUAAUUGGUUCGCGGUGAAGGGUCCGAUGAGAAGCUCGAGUGCCAAGCUGAGUAAUGCAAGUGAUGCUUUGAUAAGCUGAGGUUCUUGAGUGUGACAGAGCCUGCUUUGCUUGGAGAUGGUGGUGACAAAGGAAGAACUUAUAGACUGUCUGUCUUGGAACCAUUGCUCAGAGGUUUCAUUUUGUAUUCAUGAUUGCUGUUUGUUGUAAUUGUAGAUGCUUUAGCUGUUAACUCUGAUGGUCGUUACUUGACGACUAGAGGAGUUGAUCGCCAUGUUCAUAAGGUCCAAUUUGUCUCAGCUUUUAUGAUUAUGUGUCUACAGGCCUUUACAGGUCACAGGAACACUGUUUUUUCCCUA